UUUUUUGUGUCUGGCUUAGGUGUAUCUUGUGUGUAUUUGUGUUGAGGAUGUUACACUUUUAUGUAUUUUUCUUUUGGGAUCAAGUAAUGGAAAUUAAUUAACGCAAUAUGUCUGCUUCGUGUAAAUUGUAACAAAAUUGUAUACACCAGAUGAAAACAAUAAAUGAUUUUACAAUUAGCAGGAUCAAUGCUCUUGGAGGUUAUAUAAUGAAGACAAUAGUUCAAAACAGUG
rnacentral:lncRNA from 1 species